GCUCGGGAGGGCCAGAGAGCGCUCGUUCCUCUCGCCCCGGGAGGGCUGGGGUCGGCGGGGUCUGGAGCACGCGCUUCAGCGACACAAGAUGCGGUCGUCCGCCGGGACACACGCCGCCUGUGAAACGGAGAGAGAAGAGCUCCAUUUUACAGAUGAGAGAAACUGAGCCCGGAUGAAGAAGCGGCUGGCUCUGGGUCGCCCAGAGAGCCUGGGCUUCUGGAACCUGUUGGAAGACGACUUCUGGGACCCUGAUCUCGCGAAUAUUUGGUCCGAAAGUAAAGCGGGCCCUCCUUUCACACUCUGAACUGGGGCUCGUCUCUCUUUCCCAAUUGCCAGGGAGUGUUAAUGUCCUGGGACCAGGGCGACUUACCCAGGCCCCUCGGGGUGGGAGCACUUAAUUUGGGAAAGUCUUCCCCUAGGACUGGGGGCUGGGCCUCUGGGACCUGAACUGGAUAGAUGGCUUCCAGAGUGGGGCUGCAUCUCCUCAUUCUACUCUGAAUUUGCAGCCCCUUGCAAAAAUUCCCUAAAUCUGCAUCAACUAGUGAUUUUUAAAUUUUUCUCCCCUUUUUUCGGAGGUUUCCCCUCUAAAAAAGAUUUCGGAUCAGGUUCUCCCACAGCGCGGCAGCUGCAGAGCUCGAGUCCCCCUCUCCUCCCACCCUCCCCCCGCCGGGCUUCCCGGGCUGGUCUGUGUCAGCGUCUGAACAAGAGGCUCAGACCGUUAGACGCCAGGCCCGUGACGUCACCCAUUCAUAAAACCUGGACGGGCUGUCAGGCUGGCGCCGCGCGGGCGGUCGCCAUGGAGACGGCAAACCCGGCUCCCGGCGCUACUCGGGGCCCCGCCAGUCACCUGCGGACCUCCGGCAGGAGGCCUGGGAAUGGGCUCCUCACGGGCGCGGUCGCCGGGCAAGGGUCACCUUACCUCCCGCCCCACACCUGGAAUCUCCCCACCAGGCCCACGGCUUGGGCCGCUUGGGAGGUUUCCUCACCGCCUCCUCCCCAUCUCCAGUUCCCCUUACUGCCUGGGGAAAGGGGCCCGAGUCCCGAUUCCAGCUCUGCUGCUGGGUGAAUUUAGUGGUGUCUCAAGCCCUCUGAGCCAUACUAUCUGCCUGGUAUUUUGAUGAUAAUCACACAAGUGACGAUUUAUUGCGUUCUUACUUCCUGCCAGGCAGGCACUGUGUGAAGAGUUUGCCUGCAUCCUCUUCUGGAAUCCUUGCUACAACUCCAAAGAGAGGAGCUGUUUGGUUUCUUUAUACAAAGGAGGAAACUGAGGCUCAACAAGCCUCCCAGGAGCCGCACUGUUGUAAUGGCUGCAUUGUUAAUAACAAGGGCACUUCAUUGUAAUGCAGCCACGUCCAGUCUGCCUCCAGAACCUUAGAUGGACCAGAGCUGUGGAAACCGCAUAGCCACCCGAAGUAUGAGGAGGCUAAAAUUCUGCGCUCACACAGGAGGGGAUGAUAUUACCCCCCCCCCCUACACACACACACACACACACACACACACACACACACACACCAAUUAAUUCACUGGGUGUCAGGUUUCCUUUUUCUACAGAAGUUUGCAGAAGGGGGUCAAUAAACCAGCCCACUGCAUCCACAUGAGGAAACCAGGAAAACUGAUCAGGGAGACUAGCUUCAAAGGAGAGACAUCAUCAAUUAAUUAGCUGGACUCCCCAUCCUCUUAUGACACCCCGCAAGCUCUCCAAACUCCCUAGGCUUGUUUUGCAAUCCUCUAAUGAUUGGAGAGAACAUUUUGCUGUGCAGAAGAAUUGCUAAAGAAUUGGAAGGACAAUGACCAGCGGGAGAGGAAAUUAUAAUAUUAAUUUACUAUUGAGUGAUUAUUAAUUGACCUAGCAAUUCUUUUUGCUGGUAUCAAUUCCAGACACACAUGCGCAUGUGUGCGCGCACACACACACACACACACACACACAGGCACAAAGAUGUCUGCUCAGCCCUGGCUGGUGUGGCUCAGUUGGUUGGGCAUCAUCUGUGCACCAGGAGGUUGCCGGUUGGAUUCUGGGUCAAGGGCAUGUGCCGGGGUUGUGGACUCGAUCCCUGAUAGGGUGUGUGCUGGAGGCAGCCGAUCCAUGUUGCACUCUCACAUCCAUGCUUCUCUCUCUCCCCCUCUUAGUGCCUCUCUCUCUAAAAAUCAGUAAACUACUGUUUUU